UGUGUCAUAAAAAUUCUACAUUAAAUUGGCAUUAAAUCAUAGGAUAUCUAUUUGAGAAAUAAAAGCAAUGCAUAUUAGUUAAGAGCCUUCUUUAAGAAGGACUCUCCAUUUCACAUGCCAAAUUGAGGUGGGUGGCAUUUAUUUUUUGUCAUAGCUUCUGGUGAGUAUAGAUGAGUCCUUCUCCACUUGAAACUAUGUUAAGUUGGAUAAGGAUCCAAUCUAAAUUGACCCAAUCCCAUU
rnacentral:lncRNA from 1 species